GCGAAGUGACGCUUUAUUAAAAUCUCUAAACAGUAAAAUGAAAUCCUUAAGUCGGGUUAUGGCGGAGUGUAAUUUUUUUUGACUGCACUAAUAGUUCGUAAACACCACACAGGAAGUAGGAAAAGAACUACAUUUCCCAUCUGCCCUGGCUGUCACAGACUAAUAGCACCAGCUGCUUUCCAUUGCCCUAAGGAAUGAUUCUACUGCGGCAACGAGACCAAAUACAACGAAAGUAUUGAUGCUGCAAAAGAAGACGGAUCUUUUGGUAGGCUGGUUAAUGAUGACCACAAGCACCCAAAUGGCAGAAUGCAGAAGACUGAAGUGGAUGGAAGCCCACAUCUUGGUCUGUUUGCUUUAACAGACUUUAAAGAAGGUGAUGAAAUUACUUACAAUUACGGAGGAGGAGACUGGCCUUGGCGCAGCAAGGUAAAACAUCUACUCUGAAAAAGAGGAAGGCUCGGGAAGGAAAUGAGGUCCAUGCAGUGGAGAGACAUAUGAAGACCUUCAUCAUGUCAUGUCGUGUCCCAGGGAAGUUGGCCUGUGAAAACUGCAUUAGAUCUGAGUCUUUAUAUCUUAAAGAUAGAGACUGGCAAAGUAUCAAAUUCUAUGUCUAUAACUGCACUGUAGCUUACAAAAGAGAUAUAA
ensembl:lncRNA